rnacentral:rRNA from 1 species
CGCGAAAACUUUACAAUGUGCGAAAGCGCGAUAAGGGAACUCUGAGUGCCUCCUAAGGAGGCUGUUCAGGUGUCUAAAAAGCAUCUGGAGUAAGGGCUGGGCAAGACCGGUGCCAGCCGCCGCGGUAACACCGGCAGCUCAAGUGGUAGCCAUGCUUAUUGGGUCUAAAGCGUCCGUAGCCGGCUGAGUAAGUUCCUUGGGAAAUUUGACCGCUUAACGGUUAAGCUAUCAGGGAAUACUGCUUGGCUUGGGACCGGGAGAGGUCAGAGGUACUCCAGGGGUAGGGGUGAAAUCUAUUAAUCCUUGGGGGACCACCGGUAGCGAAGGCGUCUGACCAGACCGGGUCCGACGGUGAGGGACGAAGGCUGGGGUCGCGAACCGGAUUAGAUACCCGGGUAGUCCCAGCUGUAAACGAUGCGGGCCAGGUGUUGGCAUUACUGCGAGUGAUGUCAGUGCCAAAGGGAAGCCGUUAAGCCCGCCAUCUGGGGAGUACGGUCGCAAGGCUGAAACUUAAAGAAAUUGGCGGGGGAGCCACCACAACGGGUGGAGCCUGCGGUUCAAUUGGAUUCAAC